rnacentral:rRNA from 1 species
AGUGAACGCUGGCGGUAGGCCUAACACAUGCAAGUCGAACGGCAGCACAGUAAGAGCUUGUUCUUACGGGUGGCGAGUGGCGGACGGGGGAGGAAUACAUCGGAAUCUACUUGUUCGUGGGGGAUAACGCAGGGAAACUUACGCUAAUAGCGCAGACGACCUACGGGUGAAAGCAGGGGAUCUUCGGACCUCGCGCGAUUCAAGGACCCGAUGUCGGAUUAGCUAGUUGGGGGGGUAAAGGCCCACCAAGGCGACGAUCCUUAGCUGGUCUGAGAGGAUGAUCGGCCACACUGAAACUGAGACACGGUCCAGACUCCUACGGGAGGAAGCAGGGGGAAAUAUUGGACAAUGGGCGCAGGCCUGACCCAGCCAGCCCGCGGGGGUGAAGAAGGCCUUCGGGUUGUAAAGCCCUUUGUUGGGAAAGAAAAGCAGCAGGUUAAUACCCCGCUGUUCUGACGGUACCCAAAGAAUAAGCACCGGCUAACUUCGUG